rnacentral:rRNA from 1 species
CACGUAGGGGGCAAGCGUUGUCCGGAUUUAUUGGGCGUAAAGAGCUCGUAGGUGGUUCGGUAAGUCGGGUGUUAAACCCCCAGGCUCAACCUGGGGACGCCACUCGAUACUGCUGUGACUAGAGUCCGGUAGGGGAGCGUGGAAUUCCUGGUGUAGCGGUGAAAUGCGCAGAUAUCAGGAGGAACACCAGCGGCGAGGGCGGCGCUCUGGGCCGGUACUGACACUGAGGAGCGAAAGCGUGGGGAGCGAACAGG